GAUGAAGAACGUAGCGAAAUGCGAUAAGUAAUGUGAAUUGCAGAAUUCAGUGAAUCAUCGAAUCUUUGAACGCACAUUGCGCCCGCCAGUAUUCUGGCGGGCAUGCCUGUUCGAGCGUCAUUUCAACCAUCAAGCCCCCGGCUUGUGUUGGGGACCUGCGGCUGCCGCAGGCCCUGAAAACCAGUGGCGGGCUCGCUAGUCACUCCGAGCGUAGUAAUACAUCUCGCUCAGGGCGUGCUGCGGGUCCCGGCCGUUAAAAAGCCUUAUUUACCCAAGGUUGACCUCGGAUCAGGUAGGAAGACCCGCUGAACUUAAGCAUAUCAAUAAGCGGAGGA
rnacentral:misc_RNA from 1 species